AUCCGAGAGACUCAGUUCAGUCAGAUGAACAGUUCUCCUCAUCGUCCUUCAGCUCCUCCUUCUUCCUUGUUUCUGUCGCAGCUCGUGGAUCAUCGGUGUUUCUGGAUGUUUGGUAUUUUAUUGAUUAGAGGCCCGAUAAAGUGGAAAUAUAAUAAGGUUUAAUGUUUAAAGUGAAUCUUCUGGUGUUUUGUUGUCGCGAUAAGAGAAAUACGUGAAACUGUGGCGGUGGACAGAAACACGGAAAUGGAUUCUCUAUCAGCUACUUCACUGUUUUCGGCCCUGAUCUUCAUCAUCGUCUUCGUCUCAUCUGUCUCUACAGGCGAGUUUCUGGAGGAAAACUAAGAUCCAAAGUUAUUUUGAUCUGAGAUACGGCGAUAGUUAAAGUUAUGCUAUCCACGGAGACACAUGUUCACAUAAUGAUGAUAAUCACUGUUUAUGGUCCCAGUUAGUGCUGGUUCACAGAACAACAGACUAGAUCAUCA